ACGGAGGGUGCAAGCGUUACUCGGAAUCACUGGGCGUAAAGGACGCGUAGGCGGAUUAUCAAGUCUCUUGUGAAAUCCUAUGGCUUAACCAUAGAACUGCUUGGGAAACUGAUAAUCUAGAGUGAGGGAGAGGCAGAUGGAAUUGGUGGUGUAGGGGUAAAAUCCGUAGAGAUCACCAGGAAUACCCAUUGCGAAGGCGAUCUGCUGGAACUCAACUGACGCUAAUGCGUGAAAGCGUGGGGAGCAAACAGG
rnacentral:rRNA from 1 species